UUGUAAUACGAACCGGUGCUAAAGGGUCUCUGCCUCGACAGCACCUGUCAGUAGCCGUUGGGCAGGGCCCUUUAACACCGAUUCAUGUUACGAA
rnacentral:pre_miRNA from 1 species